UACGUAGGGGGCGAGCAUUGUCCGGAGUUACUGGGCGUAAAGCGCACGCAGGCGGUCUGUUAAGACCGAUGUGAAAUCCCCGGGCUUAACCUGGGAACUGCAUUGGUGACUGGCAGGCUUUGAGUGUGGCAGAGGGAGGUAGAAUUCCACGUGUAGCAGUGAAAUGCGUAGAGAUGUGGAGGAAUACCGAUGGCGAAGGCAGCCUCCUGGGCCAACACUGACGCUCAUGCACGAAAGCGUGGGGAGCAAACAGG
rnacentral:rRNA from 1 species